rnacentral:tRNA from 1 species
GACUCGGUAGCUUAGUUGGUAAAGCCAAGAGGCAAGAGUCCUGGGUUCAAAUCCCAGCCGAGCA